AAACUUUCAACAACAGAUCUCUUGAUUCCGACAUCGAUGAAGAACACAGCGAAAUGCAAUAAGUAAUGUGAAUUGCAGAAUUCUGUGAAUCAUCGAAUCUUUGAACGCACAUUGCGCCCCCUGGUAUUCCGGGGGGCAUGCCUGUCCGAGCGUCAUU
rnacentral:rRNA from 1 species